rnacentral:rRNA from 1 species
CCGGAAAAACCUUACCACUCCUUGACAUGGAAAUUAUACCUAUUCGAAGGGAUAGGGUCGGUUCGGCCGGGUUUCACACAGGUGUUGCAUGGCUGUCGUCAGCUCGUGUCGUGAGAUGUUGGGUUAAGUCCCGCAACGAGCGCAACCCUCAUCCUUAGUUACCAUCAGGUAAUGCUGGGGACUUUAAGGAGACUGCCAGUGAUAAACUGGAGGAAGGUGGGGAUGAUGUCAAGUCAUCAUGGCCCUUAUGGAGUGGGCUACACACGUGCUACAAUGGUGGCUACAAUGGGCUGCAAAGUCGCGAGGCUAAGCCAAUCCCUUAAAAGCCAUCUCAGUUCGGAUUGUACUCUGCAACUCGAGUGCAUGAAGUUGGAAUCGCUAGUAAUCGUGGAUCAGCACGCCACGGUGAAUACGUUCUCGGGUCUUGUACACACUGCCCGUCACGCCAUGGGAAUUGGUUUCACUCGAAGCUAACGACCUAACCGCAAGGAGGGAGUUAUUUAAAGUGGGAUCGGUGACUGGGGUG